rnacentral:rRNA from 1 species
GGCGAUGAUCGGUAGCUGUUCUGAGAGGAAGAUCAGCCACACUGGGACUGAGACACGGCCCAGACUCCUACGGGAGGCAGCAGUGGGGAAUUUUGGACAAUGGGGGGAACCCUGAUCCAGCAACGCCGCGUGAAUGAAGAAGGCCUUAGGGUUGUAAAGUUCUUUUGGCGCAGAGCAAAGUGUACGGAGUAAUAUACUGUAUAUCUGAGAGUAUGCGCAGAAUAAGCACCGGCUAACUACGUGCCAGCAGCCGCGGUAAUACGUAGGGUGCGAGCGUUAAUCGGAAUUACUGGGCGUAAAGGGUGCGCAGGCGGAAAUGUAAGUUAGGAGUGAAAUCCCCGAGCUCAACUUGGGAACGGCUUUUAAGACUGCAUAUCUAGAGUUUGUCAGAGGGGGGUGGAAUUCCAAGUGUAGCAGUGAAAUGCGUAGAGAUUUGGAGGAACACCGAUGGCGAAGGCAGCCCCCUGGGAUAGAACUGACGCUGAGGCACGAAAGCGUGGGUAGCAAACAGGAUUAGAUACCCU